rnacentral:lncRNA from 10 species
GGAAGCAGAGCUAGGGGAGCCGAGGAGCUCCUGCUGGGCUCUGCCAGGGAAGAAGCCGCAGUAGGAGCCCCUACGUAGGCCCUGCAAGAGGCCUGGCGUUCAGGAAAGGGCCCGCUGACCAUCCAGUGCAGGGAAAGGAGUCCAGCUCUGGCCUCUGCCCCUCAGCUCCACCUCCUGCAUUCCUAGGAGUUCUCCAGAGGAUCUGAUGGGAGCUCAGAACCGGUCCCAACAGCUCCCUCCACCCUUCAUGAACGGGGGCUGGAAAAUGUGGUCUGCUCUGAUAAGGAUUUGCGUCAGGCUACUGGCUACUCAGCAGCCGAGAAGAGCAAGCCUCCAGGCCUCUGCACGCGUGCCUUCUGCCCGCCUGCCUGGCCCUCGGAGGCUGCCCAGUGCAUCAUAGUACAUCCC